rnacentral:rRNA from 1 species
GACGAACGCUGGCGGCGUGCUUAACACAUGCAAGUCGAACGGAAAGGCCCUGCUUUUGUGGGGUGCUCGAGUGGCGAACGGGUGAGUAACACGUGAGUAACCUGCCCUGGACUUUGGGAUAACGUCAGGAAACUGGGGCUAAUACCGGAUAGGAGCUCCUGCUGCAUGGUGGGGGUUGGAAAGUUUCGGCGGUUGGGGAUGGACGCCCGGCUUAUCAGCUUGUUGGUGGGGUAGUGGCUUACCAAGGCUUUGACGGGUAGCCGGCCUGAGAGGGUGACCGGCCACAUUGGGCCUGGGGUACGGCCCAGACUCCUACGGGAGGCAGCAGUGGGGAAUAUUGCACAAUGGGCGGAAGCCUGAUGCAGCAACGCCGCGUGCGGGAUGACGGCCUUCGGGUUGUAAACCGCUUUGGCCUGUGACGAAGCGUGAGUGACGGUAAUGGGUAAAGAAGCACCGGCUAACUACGUG